AAUGAACGCUGGCGGCAGGCCUAACACAUGCAAGUCGAACGGGUCCUUCGGGACUAGUGGCGGACGGGUGAGUAACGCGUGGGAACAUACCCUUUGGUACGGAAUAGCCUCUGGAAACGGAGAGUAAUACCGUAUGUGCUCGUAAGAGGAAAGAUUUAUCGCCAAAGGAUUGGCCCGCGUUGGAUUAGGUAGUUGGUGGGGUAAUGGCCUACCAAGCCGACGAUCCAUAGCUGGUUUGAGAGGAUGAUCAGCCACACUGGGACUGAGACACGGCCCAGACUCCUACGGGAGGCAGCAGUGGGGAAUCUUAGACAAUGGGGGAAACCCUGAUCUAGCCAUGCCGCGUGAUCGAUGAAGGCCUUAGGGUUGUAAAGAUCUUUCAGUUGGGAAGAUAAUG
rnacentral:rRNA from 1 species